rnacentral:rRNA from 1 species
GUAGUCCACGCCCUAAACGAUGUCUACUAGUUGUCGGGUCUUAAUUGACUUGGUAACGCAGCUAACGCGUGAAGUAGACCGCCUGGGGAGUACGGUCGCAAGAUUAAAACUCAAAGGAAUUGACGGGGACCCGCACAAGCGGUGGAUGAUGUGGAUUAAUUCGAUGCAACGCGAAAAACCUUACCUACCCUUGACAUGUACGGAAGCCACGAGAGAUCGAGGUGUGCUCGAAAGAGAACCGUAACACAGGUGCUGCAUGGCUGUCGUCAGCUCGUGUCGUGAGAUGUUGGGUUAAG